UUUCUUUAUUCGGAUCCAUAUGCGAUCUGUUCCAUUCUGAAUAAACAAACAGCAGUUUACAUGCUUCGUCCUUGUUACAUUACCGGUAUUCAUUAAGAUAAUACUAAACACAUGUAG